rnacentral:rRNA from 1 species
GCGCCUAAUACAUGCAAGUCGAGCGAGAACCGGGCUUCGGCUCGGGGAAAGCGGCGAACGGGUGCGUAUCACGUGAGCAACCUGCCCCGAAGACCGGGACAAGCCGGGGAAACCUGGUCUAAUACCGGAUACCCUCGGUGGACCGCAUGGUCCGGCGAGGAAAUGGAUUCCGCUUCGGGAUGGGCUCGCGGCCUAUCAGCUUGUUGGUGGGGUAACGGCCUACCAAGGCGACGACGGGUAGCUGGUCUGAGAGGACGAUCAGCCACACUGGGACUGAGACACGGCCCAG